CAUAGAAAAGAGGGAAAAGUGACUGCCCUAAGACAGGUAGCGAGUGAAAAAAAAGAGAGAAGAAAAAUAGCAGAGAAUGAACAAAGAAAGACAAAAUCAAAACAGAGUGGAAGAGAAAGCAAGAGAGAGCAAAAAGAGAGGCAAGAACACAAGAACAUGAUAGAGAAAAGUAGAAAAAAACACCAUCAGGAUUGGCAGAAACAAUGAGAGAUAGCAUUAAGAGAGAUGGUAAAUACAAUAAGAGACAGCACUAAGUGAGUCAUUGAAUACAAUGAGAGAUAUCAUCAGAAGAAUGCAGACACAAAGAGAAAUAGCAUCAGGGUAGAAGGCAAAAUCCAUAAACAUGUUGGGGCAGAGGGUGCUUUGAGGACUGAAGACCUGGAUGUGGAGCUAUUUAGUCCCAGAUCUCAACACGUAGUGGAAUUGGC